UACGUAGGGGGCAAGCGUUGUCCGGAAUUAUUGGGCGUAAAGAGCUCGUAGGCGGCUUGUCGCGUCGGAUGUGAAAGCCCGGGGCUUAACUCCGGGUCUGCAUUCGAUACGGGCAGGCUAGAGUUCGGUAGGGGAGAUCGGAAUUCCUGGUGUAGCGGUGAAAUGCGCAGAUAUCAGGAGGAACACCGGUGGCGAAGGCGGGUCUCUGGGCCGAAACUGACGCUGAGGAGCGAAAGCGUGGGGAGCGAACAGG
rnacentral:rRNA from 1 species